rnacentral:rRNA from 1 species
GAUGAACGCUGGCGGCGUGCCUAAUACAUGCAAGUCGAGCGAACAGACGAGGAUCUUGCUCCCCUGACUGUAGCGGCGGACGGGUGAGUAACACGUGUAUAACCUACCUAUAAGACUGGGAUAACUUCGGGAAACCGGAUCUAAUACCCGAUAACAUGUUGAACCGCAUGGAUCAAGAGUGAAAGACGGUCUUGCUGUGGCUUAUAGAUGGAUCCGCGCCCGAUUAGCUAGUGGGUAGGGUAACGGCUUACCAAGGCAACGAUGCGUAACCGACCUGAGAGGGUGAUCGGCCACACUGGAACUGAGACACGGUCCAGACUCCUACGGGAGGCAGCAGUAGGGAAUCUUCCGCAAUGGGCGAAAGCCUGACGGAGCAACGCCGCGUGAGUGAAGAAGGUCUUCGGAUCGUAAAACUCUGUUAUUCGGGAAGAACAAAUGUGUAAGUAACUAUGCACGUCUUGACGGUACCUAAUCAGAAAGCCACGGCUAACUACGUG